rnacentral:rRNA from 1 species
UACGUAGGUGGCAAGCGUUGUCCGGAUUUACUGGGCGUAAAGAGCGCGCAGGCGGUCGAGUAAGUCGAAUGUGAAAGCCCCCGGCUUAACUGGGGAGGGUCAUUCGAUACUGUUCGACUUGAAGGCAGGAGAGGGCAGCAGAAUUCCCGGUGUAGCGGUGAAAUGCGCAGAUAUCAGGAAGAACACCCGUGGCGAAGGCGGCUCUCUGGGACGGUACUGACGCUGAGACGCGAAAGCGUGGGGAGCGAACAGG